rnacentral:lncRNA from 1 species
GUGAAUUGUAUCAUGGGUAUUCUGAGCUUUGGGACUAAUAUCCAUAUAUCAGUGAGUACAUACCAUGUAUGUUCUUUUGGGUCUGGGUUACUUCACUCAGGAUGAUAUUUUCUAGUUCUAUCCAUUUGCUUGCAAAAUUUAUGAAGUCGUUGUUUAUCCAUUCUUUCAUUUAGGGACAUCUGAGUUGCUUCCAGCUUCUGAUUAGAAAUAAGGGUGCUACGAGCAUAUUGGACCACAUGUUCUUGUUAUAUGUUGGAGCAUCUUUUGGAUAUAUGCUCAGUAGUGGUAUAGCUGGGUUUUCAGGCAGAACUACUUCCAAUUGUCAGAGGAACUGCCAGAUUGAUUUCCAAAGUGGUUGCACCUAUCUGAAAUCCCACCAGAAUUGGAAGAGUGUUCCUCUUUCUCCACAUCCUUGCCAGCAUCUUCUGUCACCUUUUACUAUUCUUUCUUUGUUCUGUGCAUUUAGUGUUUUUAUUAUUAUGUGAUUCGAGGAAUUUCUUGCCUGGUCCAAUCUGUUUGGUUUUCUGAAGUCUUCUUGUACGUGUAUGGCAAUCUCUUUCUUUAGGUUAGGGAAGUUUUCUUCUGAUUUUGUUGAAGAUGUUUUCUGGUCCUUUGAUUUGGGAAUCUUCACUCUCUUCUAUUCCUAUUAUUCUUAGGUUUAGUUUUUGGUUUUCUUGGUUUUUUUUUUUUUUUUUUUUUCAGUUUUCAUUGUGUCCUGAAUCUCCUGGAUGUUUUGAGUUAGGAGCUUUUUGCACUUUGUAUUUUCUUUGACUGUUGUAUCAAUAUCUUCUAUGCCUUCUGUCUCUUGUAUUCUGUUGGUGAUGCUUGCAUCUGUGACUCCUGAUCUCUUUUCUAGGUUUUCCAUCUCCAGGGUUGCCUCCCUUUGUGAUUUCUUUAUUGUUUCUAUUUCCAUUUCUAGAUCCUAGAUGGUUUUGUUCAAUUCCUUCACCUUAUUGGUUGUGUUUUCUGUAAUUCUUUAAGGAAUUUUGUGUUUCCUCUUUAAGGGCUUCUAUCUGUUUACCUGUGUUCUCCUGUAUUUCUUUAAGGGAGUUAUUUAUGUCCUUCUUAAAGUCCUCUAUCAGCAUCAUUAGAUGUGAUUUUAAAUCCAAAUCUUCCUUUUCAGGUGUAAUGGAGUAUCCAGGACUUGCUCUAGUCAGAGAACUGGUUCUGAUGAUGCCAAGUAGCCUUGGUUUCUGUUGCUUACGUUCUUACACUUGCCUCUAGCCAUCUGGUUAUCUCUAGUGUUACCUGUCCUUGCUGUCUCUGAAUGGAGCCUGUCCCUCCUGUGAUUCUGGUUGUAUCAGAACUCCUCAGAGUCCAGCCAUUUCUGUGAUCCUGUGAUUCUAGGAUUCUGAGAUCCUGAGAUCCUGGGUGUGUCAGAGCUUCUGGGAGUCAAGCUUUCUCUGGGUGUUGCAGGAAUGGGUGGGGAGCCAGAGCCCUAGGCUUGCUCCCAGCCCAGGUGCAAGCUGGAAGGAACCCGUGCCUCUGACUGGGUGGUGGUUUGUGUUCCCCUGUUCCUGUGGGGGUCCCAGUUACCUGGGUAUUGGGAAAGAUGUUGUACCCUCAACUGUGACCUUGAGUGUGUCAGAGCUUCAUUCCUCUCCCAUCUUAUUCUCUCAUGGCCAUCUCUUUACCCACAGGCCUAGCCACAGACCCAUAGUUUGGGACCCAUCUUUCCAAGGUCCAAUUAAACAUCUCAUUAACCAGCUUUUCCAGCUCUAGCUCAGACCCACACCUCCUUCAAUGACUCAAUUUUAAAAGGGCUAGAUUAUCACUUCAGACACAUAACCAAAGAAAAAUGUCCAUAUACAUAUACAGCAAAAAUAAAAACAACAUGAAUGGACAAGGCAGCAUGGUCCUAACAAAAUCCAGUGGUCUUGUAGAAGUAUUCUCUAAUGAGAAAUACCUAGAUGAACCCUGACCAGUACAAACAAUUUUUUAAAAUCAUAAACCUUAUCAAAGAAAUUCAAGGAAUUUAAAAGGGGAAGACCCACCACAAGAACACACAUCACUGAACUCC